AUGUAUAUGUAUAAAUAAAAACAACAAUAACAAUAAUUAUUAAACAAUCAUGGCAGCGCAUUCUUUGGCCAGCGGGACCAGGAAAACUGUUGUUGGUAUGCGAUGGUUGGUCAGUGCAAUUCUUCGCCGUAUGUAUGUAUUAUAUACACAUCGAAUU
rnacentral:rRNA from 1 species